GGGUCUGACGAAUAUUUAUUCCUUUGAUCUAUAUUUCAGAGUUUUUGUGAAUUUAUAAUUAAUCUUUAGGCUUUUGUGAGCUUUGGUUCGUGUAAGCUUCGUUUCGUGUUAGCUUUUGUUAGCUUUGGUUCGUGUGAGCUGCGUUUCGUGUUAGCUUUUGUUAGCUUUGGUUCGUGUGAGCUGCGUUUCGUGUUAGCUUUUAUUAGCUUUUUUUCGCGUGAGCUUCGUUUCAUGAAAGCUUUUGUUAGCGUCUUUCAAAUAUGAGUUGCCUGUGUGACGCAGCAGAAACUGUUAACGUCACAUGAACUUCAUGAAGACAGGAGGAAGAAUCUGUCAUGCGUCUGUGAGCAAAAGUGGAUUUUAGAGUUUGAGAAGAGUGUUCAACUGAUCGAUACGGUUUUACAAUCUGAUGACAUAACAAUCCAGUGCUAAAGUCAAUCUCUGAGCAACCAGCGCUGGAUGUUGAGUUUGGAGGGUCAAGUUGUGUGUGAAGGAGCACAGCCCUACUUCAUCACCGGCCUGGCAGCGCUGUUUGCCUCCUUCUAUAAUUUCAAUUUACAGUACAAGGAAGAGGCAGCAUGCACCCUUGAGUUUGUUCAUAGAUGCUUUGUUGACAUCAAUCCUGAACGGGGAUCGAAAGCAAAAAAAAGAAAAGUUACUUCAAAGAAAACCGGCCAAAUUGUGCAAAGAAAGAACAACACUGUAAGCCCACCAGUUUCCUCACUUCUGCAAAAACUUGCAGACUUUGAAUGGAACUUUGUUUAGAUCCUGUCAGCAGGUAUAUUCAAAGUAAAUACUGCAUCGUUAACUCCAUUCAUAAAAAUACAACUGGGAUUUCAGCCAAUUUGCUGUUCUAUUUUUCUUUUUUUACUCUUUCUAGCACUUUCAAUUUCUGGAUUUUUUUUUACAUUUGUUAAAGGUUAACAAGAUUAAUAUAUUAUAAAGUGUAAAGUGUUAAGUUGCUUUUAAAAUAAAUGUUUUAAAACCCAGAGAA